AUGCAAUGUCAUGGAAGGCAAGCACAGGAAAUGAUUCCAGAGCAGACCUCAUCAACUGUGCCAAAAGUGCAGAACCCUGCCUGUGUUGACCCUCAUCUACCCUUGACCUCGUUACACUCAGAAGGAGUAAGGAGAAAAAGCAAACUUGCAAUAUGUGAGUAUUGGUGCUGGGGAGAUAUUGGAUCAGACUUGUGUUUCAAUGUUUUUUUCUGCUACACCCCUUGCAACCUCAAUGAGGAGGUUUGGAUGGAACCUAUAUUCCUCACAGUCUAGGUGGAUUUUUGUCCCUAGGGAAGUAAGACAAAUAGUACUGAAAAUACUUGUGAUGUGAUGAUCAUAAAAGCAUUUUGAAAAUGACCCCCCAAAAAAGCCAUUUGAAAAUCUCAAAAAUUACCAUUAUAUAAGGAAAAACUAUAUAAACAUGGAUAGCUUUUUUUUUUUAACAGCUUUUAUUUUUCCUCCAGACUUUCACCCCAUGGAUACUAUUAAUAAGUUGAGAAGGCAUAUAUUACUAAAGCAAAAGCAUUAACAGUGGCAAUAACUAUAAAAUCACCACUCACUCACCAACACCACCAUAAUUUAUAGUUGUCAGAACUGGUAAUGGUCUCUCACCACAGGGCAAGACAUAGAUAAGGUACACAGUGGCUGUGUAACAUUCCCAGGGCUCAGAUAAAAUGCUACCCCCUGCUCUGCUGCCCAGGAGAGCACAUCAGAAUACAAAUGAAUAGGAGUAUUAUUGUUAUAAGAAUAUCUGCUCCCAUUUAUUUAUUUUUUAAAGGUAAAUCAUUUAGACUGUGCUCCUUUAUAUAUGAUUGGUGACAAAUUACUUGCCAUAUAUCUCAUAACUGGCAUGUCAAAACAGGACACUGAGAACCAUGGCUGAAGGACUGCUGGAUUCCUGCAUCAUUUUAAAGUCAAAAAUCCAUCAUGGGAGUUCCUGCUGUGGCACAGUAGGUUAAGGAUACUGGGUCGUCUCCGAGGUGGCAUAGGUUCAAUCCCCAACACUUCACAGUGGGUUAAGGAUCCCACACUGUGGCUGCUGUGGCAUAGGUUGUAGCUGUGCUCAGAUUUGAUCCUUGGCCUGGGAACAUUCAUAUGCUGAGAGCACAGCUGGGAAAAAAAAUAUCCAUCAUGGACAAUGUUUGAAUUGGAAUGAAGGCAUUCCCUUGUGAGACAGUCACUGGUGCAACUUGGGUUGCUCCUGUGGCUCAGGUUCGAUCCCUGGCCCACGAACUUCCACAUGACAGAGGCGAGGCCAAAAAAAAAAAAAAAA
rnacentral:lncRNA from 1 species